UUUGUGCAGUUCUAGGCUUUAGCUAAUGUCCCUUGGACUUCUCAUUGCCUUUGCUCUCCCUGCAUAAUCCAGCCUUUUCACGGGGACUCAGGCAGAGGAGAAGCUGAUCAAGAGAUCUCAAGAGUUGCGGCUUCCUGGGAUUGUCUGUCAGAGGAAUGAAGAGCGAAAGAAUAACUUUCCGUCGUGAAGAAGGCUGCAUGCAACUCAUCCUGGGUUUGGCAAGCAUAGUAAAUGGCCACGUAGACAAUGCAGAGCAUGCUAACUGCUAACCACGCCCAUGUUUGAGUGAUCCUACAGGUUUGCUCUUUGUUUUAUACUAUACUUUUAAUCUGUAAGUGCUCAGGGCUAGAAGUAGGGAUGUCAAAACAUAUACAAACCCUAGAAGAUAAGAAGACUGUGCUUUCACUGUGGCUUAUUUUGAUGAAAUUUUAGUGAGGUGGCAAUGUAUUCUCCUACGGGUGAUAGUCUGAGAUC
rnacentral:lncRNA from 1 species